AUACAGGUGACCGUAUCCUGAGCCCCGGGCAGAGGCAGGACCGAGCCGCAAUCUGAACAGAAAUCCAGGUCCGACUGAAAGCUGGAGCAAGUAUUGGCGAGGUCCAUGACAGACAUGCGGUCGGGUCUGAGGAGGGAGUUGGAAGUUUAUUAACAAAAGAGAGAAGAGUUCCUGUCCCAGAGGUCGUAACUAUUCUGUCCCAGGACCUAGGAGUAUAUAACCCGAACCCUCCUGCCACGCACGCCUCCUGCCUCUGCGACCAAGGAGCCGAAACGCCCGGAAUUCCCAGACAGCGUCGGGUACUAAAGGACUUGGAACCCUUUCCAGGGGCCGGUGAGAGGAGUUAACCAACUCCGUGGGCUAGAGCGCCAGCUCUGCGCCCGCGGCGGGGCAGCGAGAUAGAGCCGGCUAGAGCGUCAGGCUUUCGCGUUGACGAUUGGCUGUGACGUCAUAAUUAAUUGCGAACCGUGUCUCGGGAGCGUUAGAGAUGGAGACUAACGUCUUCCAAGGGAGAUUGCGUCUCCACUUUCACCCUGGUACUGAGAGGUUGAGCACAAAAUUGGAACGCAGUCGCGGGGUAUAUCCCCCUGAAAACCGUACGUUGCCAAAUAAUGAUUUCUUUGGAUUAGAGAACUACAACUCCCCUGGGUCCUGAGCCGGUAUUUCCCUUUUGCGGCUGCACCGUAGUUAAAAACAAAGCUAAGUGUUCUGGGACGUAUAGUUCUAGCGUUCCUUGGGUCCCGCUGGCGAGCGUGGGCUUUCUGCAGCUCGCAACCGGCCUCGUGCUUUGCGGACGGUUCACUGCGCUUGGAAAGGGAUUGGCCUGGGGUACAUCAUCUAAAGAUCCUAGGAUUGCUGCAGGUCAGCAGUCUCCACUGGAAAAAAAGAUCUUGCAUGUAUUUCAAGUCCUCUGAUGAAUCAUGUGAUCUACUAGACCCUGAAGAUACAGUGAAGAGCAAAAGAACACAGAUGAAAUGAGAAACAAAAACGAUGGAGAAAACCAAAAAAGGGGACACAUGGGAUCCAGGCAAUAGGAGAGCCAGCAUAAGAGAGAGCCAGAGGGAUGCCCAGGAUGAGGUGAAGACGAUCUUGGAAAUCAGCCCAGAUGUGCAUGCACCAGUCCACGUGUGGCAGGACCAAGGGAAGUGUCUUCACAAAGAUGAGGCUUUGAUUUGUUGGAGAAACUGUUACCAGAAAAACAGGUCCCGAUCCCGACCCCAAAAGAGUAUUCUUGGAUCUUGCACAGGAAGGAAUUAAAGGUGAGUCACAGAGUGCAGUGAGAAGGAGAUAGUUUAUUGAAAGUUACUCAGAUACAGAGUAGGUGUCCUCAGAAAGCAAAAGGAAGAAUGCACCAUCUUUGUUGUAAACUCUUCUAAUGUAGGGGUUUAAUCUACAUAAAAGCUAAGUUAAAUGUCUAUGUGUGGGUGCUCUGACAGCAUGACAAAAUUUAGGACCUAUUGAUUUAAAGAAAGUUAUCCUUGGCAUUUUAGUUAGUAUAUCAAAGCAUGACUAUAAUAAUCUUAAAAGCAUAUAUUAUAAUGUGACGUCAGGACAUGUGGACAUUCUGUUGUCUGUCAUAGGCGUUUGUUCUUGCAGGCAUUAUUAAGUUGUUUAAUCAGCUGUAAACCUCUUAUGACCAUGGGUUGUGACUGGCAAGGAAUAUGCCUUGCUAGUUGAAAGAUGGAGUUGACUUUAAAAUGGUGUCACCCUGGCUCUCCUAUGCUUCUGUUUCCCCAAAAAAGCCAGGUUACUUGUCCUGUAGAAUGAUCCACAUUCUGAGUUUGGCUAAUGACAUUCUCAUGGUAUUAACUUGUUUCUUUAUAUGUUGUUUUUUCUGUUACCCACAAAAUAAUUCUUCUGAUACACAUUUGUAAUCUUACCAUGCCAGCAUCUGCUACUCUUCAUGUUACCAAAUUUCUGUUCAAGGACCACUAAAGCCACAGUCAGUGGACAUUCUGAGACCUCUAGGGGAGGGUGGAGAUGCUGUCCUUUAAUAUAGUCUGACCCAAGCAACCUCCCCACUUGGCAUGGUGAAUCUAGACAAGCUAAAGAAUUUACUACGCCCCAGGCCUGCACCAGCCCUCUCCUAAGACCUUGGGCACUCUCAUUUCCCUUUUUUUUUUUUCUAAAGGAAGUCAUAGUUUCUCAUAACCUUUGCUAGUGAUCCUGGACCUUGGUUGUUCCCUGAGGCUGUGUUCUCCACACUGCUGCCAUCACUGCUACAGCAGAGGUGCAGAAAGCUCAGGAGAGAGAAGGGAGGAAAAGCUGAAGAUUUUGUGUUAUUCAUGCUUUCCUGACUCCGGCGAAAGUGCUUCCUCCACCUGCAACCAUUUCUGUUUCUAUACUGCUGAGUCUUGUGUUCCCAAGACCAAGGGAAGCCCAUUUUCUUUAAAGCCAGUCACAGUUUCUGUUGGCUGAUGGAAUAUCUGUUGUCCAGCAGUUGUAUUCCUGCUCACAAAUGCAAAACAGUUUGAUGCCACGCACAUUCCAGGGCUUAGACUGGAAAUGCUGUCCCUUGCCCCUUUGUUACCUUCUGACAGGGAUCAGUCCAUAGUGUAGUUGGUGUCACAACAGUCCCGAAGAAGCCUUCCAAUAGAUACCCAAAUGUGAUUCAAAGUGGCACAGGCACACACCACGGUGCCACAUGGUGCCUAUGUAAAGCAGGUAUAUCAGGAAUGCUAAGCAGAGAAGUAGCAGAACACACUGAUCCCCAUGUUCUCAUUGUACAGUUGGGUGCAAUUAAGCUGGCACAAUGGACUCUUCUCAUGGCUACUGUUCCAGUAGUGUGGAUGCCCCCAAAUGCUGCAUAUUUACUAGGACAGCCAGGCAGAGACAGCUGUGUACUAUGAUACAACAGUAGUCCCUCUUAGAGGAAGUGACCUUGUUAGAAGUGGGAGUUUCUGAAGCUCUUCAGCUGUUACUGGCCUGCUCUUCCAUAGCGUUACUUCAGACCUGCUGGCCCAGCUAUCCACUCCGCUAACAGGUCUGUCUCUGCUAACAGGUCUAGCUCUGUCUCCUCAGCACAUGUUCUAGGCUCUGACUGCAAGUGCUGACUUGGGCUCCCAGCCCCACACAGACCCUCUGUUCCAUGAAAGGGCCAUCUAUGCAAAGUGCCCCCCAAAUGCCAAAGGAGCCAAUAAACCAAGGAACAAGACAGACAAAUCUAGUUGUCAGUAAAGAGUGUUUUAUUGGGGAACUUACAGACAGAAGCGUGGUCUUGGAUGGCAGGAAGACAGGUAGGUUUCUGCACUUAUUACCCCCACACCCAGGGCUUAUAUACCACAGGGGAAGAGUAUACAUGCUCUGUGCAAGACAAAGGCUACUACUGUCCAGAACAGGUAAGAAUGCUAAUGUGUCAUAGCCUAGAAUUUGUAUAACAUCAAGGUUGACAUGUUCUUACAAUAGGGAUGGUAAAUAAAGUGGGAAUCAGGAGUCAGUCCUGGGACUGGGGCUAAUCAGAAGUCAGCAUAGAGAAUUAGCAUCCAAGAGGGAGUCACUUUUCUCUCCACAUCCCAGCCCUCUAAUCCAGCUCUUACAAUCUCAUGGACUCACAUUUCCCCCAUAGUCCCUGAGCCUUCAGAGAGGGCUGUGGGUGACAUUUUGAUGGUGUGAGUGACACAUUUUAUCAAUUUGUUUUCUACUUGUUAAGCAGGGGCCACAGCAACAACACAAACAACAGGCGAUGAUAUGUAUGCCAGGUGUAAGACACAGAAUUAAAAAUGCCCUUUACCAUGUUUAUUCAGGAACCAAACCAAGAGGUAUAGAGCAGAACAACAAUAGGAACAGAAGACUAUGGGUGGAAUUAAAAAUGUUUAGUAGGUAUUUGGUGGGGCAGUUCUUCCCCAUUAAACAGAAUUACUGGUAGCUCCAUCUCUGUUGAUUAGGAACAUAGGAUUGUGGGCUGGGAGUACACACCAAACAUGUUGCCUGAGGGGCAAAGGCGCUGGUAUUAUGUGUAAGGUUACAGGGGCAGCAAAGGACCAUGUCAAAUGGCCAGCCAGGGUGCUUCUUAAAAGGGACUGUGUUCCAGUUUAUUGGUAUGUGGAGUGUUUUGGCCCAGACUUCAGCAGGAUCAAUGGAGACCACUUUAGUUGGUAGGGAAUUCCUUGCUGUCUGGAAAGAAAUGCUCUAUCCAACAUAGGGGAAGUUGCUAGUCCAACCCCCAUUCAAGUGUCUCCUCCCUGGCUCAAGAUCUUGAGGAGUUCUAAAUAACCUUUGCCAUUGGCCUUUUAUCUGCUCAGGUCAGAGAUGCAUCUGGUUGGACUUUCUUUACUAUUAUGGUUAAUGGAUCCAUCUCUGUGGUGGUCCUGAGUCAUUGGUGUGGUGCCAGCACCAUAUUUGUCUCAACUAAAUUAAGGUUUCUAAUGGCUUGAGGCAAAAUCUUUGUCUAACUAUGAAAGAUAUUGGAUUUUGAGAGUGCUCAAAACUGUGCCUUCAAAAUACCAUUUUUCCUUUCAAUCAACCCUGUUGCUUGGGGGAGUAUACAGUAAGUGAAAUACCCAGUCUAUGUCCCUUUCAUGCAUCCAGUCUUGGACACCGUGUCUGGUGAAAUGCAUGCCUCGAUUGCUAUCAAUAUGUGGAGGGUAUCCUUACAUGACACUGAGUUGCUCCAAGCCCCUGAUGGUGGCUGUUUGGUUUGCUCUUACAAGGGAAAGCUUGCAACAAUCCCAUGGCAGUGUAUACACAUGUUAGUGCAUACUUUCGUCUCAAGAUUACUGGCAAGGGUCUGAUGUAGUCUAUCUACCAGUCUGUCACAGGGGUGGCUGUCUUAUGUAUAUGUCCAGGUGUAUGUGGGAUGUGGCAGAGGUACAGACGGGAACAAAUUAAGCAGUUUGCUACCGCCACCACUAAAUCUGCAUAGCAGAGAGCCAAUCCUGCUCCCUUUGCUAUUUGGCAGCCCAUUCAUGCACUGAAAUCCCCACUGUGAUAUGUACCUAAUCAACUAGCUCAGUAUUCUAAUUUUUGCUAGGAUGUCUGCCUCCAUGUUUCUGGGAGGUGAAUCUGACCAGUGUGCUGAAGCAAUUAGGUCCACAGUGGGUUCCUGUAGACUUUUCCAAAUGUCUUUCCACAUAUCAGCUCCCCAUAAGGAUUUUUAAAUUAUAUACCAAUCAUCUCAGGCCCUUUGGGCAAGCCAAAUUGUAAGACCCUUAAGUACUGCCAGACUGUCUGUACAGAGAACUAUAGGUGGUGGCUCACGGGUACAAACCAACCAUGUAGCUUGGAGUUCUGCCCAUUGACUGCUCUGUUGCAUUCCCAUCUCAAACCAGAUACUGUCUGUGGUUGUGCAGCUACUACUGUCCAUACACAGGGUUACCUUGGCUCAAUGCAUCUAAGUACCAAGCAUUAUCAGGAAUGAGGGCCAUGCCUUCAUGUACCAUUGGAGACAUCUCCUGUGAGGGCUCCACAAUAGGGGCAGCACUGGACUCAUAAUGUACUGGCCCUAAGAUAGCAUGCAGUUCAUCUCUUAAGGGAUGCAUGGAGAAGGCACUAUGUUGUUGCAUGUAUGCAUGGCACUUUUGUAAAGUGGAAACUUGGGCAAUAGCUGAUACAGGCCUGGCAAACACUCCUACCCAGUCCUUGAUAGGAAACCUGUUCUCCCUGGUACCAGGAAAGCAGCAGUUAUGGAUUCAACUUGUGGCAAGACCUUCUAUAUCCCCAGGACCUGUUAUUCAACUGGGAAAUAGCAGGUUUCAGUACCCUUCCAUUAAUUGUGACUAAAAUUCUAAAGGAACUGCUUCCCUAUGCUGGACUUUAUAUUUUCAUCAUCCAAAAUUAUAGUUUAGUUUUACCUUUAAAAAUAUGUUUUUUGUUCUCAUUUGUUCCAUAGGUUUCUCCUUGAAAUUUAUAUUGUAUGGUAAGGUUUCCUAUUGUUUGCAUUUUGUGGAUUGCACGCCAAGGUGUGGUUUAAUGUAUUUCUAUUACCUGUAUUUUCUGUAAAUUGGUAGUUUGGUAUAGAGGUUUGUGUACAUUCAGGGUUUUUUUUUUUCUGUAAGUAUUGAUGGUUCUGUAAAAGGAAAAUAAAAUCUUGGGGCCCCAAAAUUACUAAGCUAAAGGGAAAAGUCAAGCUGGGAACUGCUUAGGGUAAACCUGCCUCCCAUCUGUUCAGAGUCGCCCCUCUGCUCACUGAGAUAAACACAUGUCUGAUUCCCUCAUUUGGAAAGGCUAAUCGGAAACUCAAAAGAAUGCAACCAUUUGUCUCUCAUCUAUCUGUGACCUGGAAGCCCCCUCCUUGCUUCGAGUUGUCCCGCCUUUCCAGACGGAAUCAAUCUUUAGCUUACAUAUGUUGAUCACUGUCUCAUGUCCCCUUAAAAUGUAUAAAACCAAGUUGUGCUCUGACCACCAAAGUUGUGCUGAGAAGUGACACCAAAGAACAUGGUGGCAUAAGAACUCCAAGGACCCCUCCCCUCCACAGCGGCAAUGUGCUUGUUGAAACACCAGUAUAAAAAAACUCGAUGAGAGCUGUGAUUGGAUUUAGUGUUGAUAUAUUUUUUGUAAAUUGUGGUAAAACAUGCAUACUAUAUAAUUUACCUUCUAACCAUUUUUUCAGUGUACAAUUUGGUGGCAGUAAGCACAUUUACAAUGUUGUGUAACCACCGCCAAUAUCCAUUUCCAGAACAUUUUCAUCAUCCCAAACAGAAACUGUACCCAUUAAACCAUAACUGCCCAUUCUCCCUACCCCCAGCCCCUGGUAAUCUCUAUUCUAUUUUCUGUUUCUAUGAAUUUGCUUAUUCUAGCUACUUUAUAUAAGUAAAAUAUCAUAUUUGUUUUUAUUUCUGGCUUAUUUCACUUAUAGUGUUUUCAAGGCUCAUCCAAUUAGAAUUUCAUUCACUUUUAAGGCUGAAUAAUAUUCCAUGCUUAUGUGCACCGUGGGUUGUUUAUCCAGUCAUCCUCUGAUGGACACUCGGUUGCUUCCACCUUUUGGAUAUUGGGUAUAGUGCUGCUAUGGGCCUGAGUGUACACAUAUCUGGGUGAGUUCCUGCUUUCAGUGCUUUUGGGUAUGCCCAAAAGUGGAAUUGUUGGCUCAUAUAGUAAUUCUAUUUUUACUUUCUUGAGGAAUCACUAUUCUGUUUUCCAUGGUGGCUGCACCACUGUAUACUCUCACCAGCAGUGUACAAGUGUUCCAGUUUCUCCAUAUCUUCACCAACACUUGGCCUAGUGAAGUUUACCAUAUUUUUAUGUCCUUAUUGGCAUUCCUUUUUUUUUUUUUUUUGUGAAACAGAGUCUUGCUCUGUUGCCAGGCUGGAGUGCAGUGGCACAAUCUCGGCUCGCUGUAACCUCCACUUCCCAGGUUCAAGUGAUUCUCCUACCUCAGCCUCCUGAGUAGCUGGGACUACAGGUACCUGCCACCAUGCCCAACUAAUAUUUGUAUUUUUUUGGUACAGACGGGGUUUCACCAUGUUGGCCGGGAUGGUCUUGAUCUCUUGACCUCGUGAUCCGCCCACCUCGGCCUCCCAAAGUACUGGGAUUACAGGCAUGAGCCACCAUGCCUGACCAGCAUUCCUUAUUUUUAUGUCCUUAUUGUAUAUCUUCUUUGGAGAAUUGUCUAUUCAUGUCUUUUACUUAUUUUUGAAUGAGAUUGUUUUGCUAUUGUUGAAUUGUAGUUCUUUACAUAUUCUGGAUAUUAAUUCUUUAUCAGAUAUGUGAUUGGCAAAUAUUUCCUCCUGGUCUGUGCAUUUUCUUUUGAUUCUCUUAAUAGUGUCCUUUGAUGCAAAAAAGUUUUUAAAUUUUGAUGCAUUCUAAUUUGUCAUUUUUCUUAUAUUACUUGUACUAUUGGUCACCAGCCAAGAAACCACUACCAAUUCUAAUGUCCAUAAGAUUUUCCUCAGUAUUUUCUUGAGGGUUUUACAGGUUCAAUUCUUAAGAUUAGUUCUUUGAGUCAUUCUGACUUAAUUUUUGAAAAGGGUGUAAUGGAAGGACAUGAAUUUUUUCCAGCAUCAUUCUUUUGCAUGUUGAUAUCCAGGUUUCCAGCACCAUUUGUUGAUGCACCAUCUGUUGCAGUGGGGCUGACACAUUUGUAAGAUGCAGUGAGCAUUAAUACAUGGGAGCACCAUGCAUUUAUUUACCUGUCUUUACUUCACAGUUGUUUUGAGAAGGCUUUCACUGACAGACUCAACAGAAAUGAAUAUAUAUGACUUCUUAUAAAAUCAUAUUCAAGUAAAAUUAUAAAUUUUAAAAUGUUAAGACUGGAGCAAGACUGGAACAUCACUAGACAAGCUGAAACAUAGGCUGAAAUGAAGGGUUAUGUUUACCUUGCUACAAAUUCUGUUGGCCCACAAUCUCUUAUGCUUAUUGCUUAAGAGAGCCACAGAGUGGGGUGAUAGCUCACAUAACCAGUCCCUGGUUUUCUGCUUCAGAAAGAAGUUUAAAUAUUCUGCUUAGACAGAGUAAGGAAAUUAACUGAAAGAUGUCUAAUGUGAAGUUGGCAUCUACAAAGUGAAGGAGUGAGUAGUAAGUGUAAACAUCAGGAAUCCCAGGAGAUUCUAUCUUUUUGCACGGAAAUGGCCUCACUAUGCACUGCUGAAGGGAGAAGGUCCCUUCAGGGGACCUUCAUGAUGAAGAAGAACACAAUAUGAUAUAGGAAUUUUCUGCUGCAGCCCUAAACUGAAUUGUCCUUCUCUCUAACUACAGGUCUCACAAAGUUUUAUAGCUUCAAUGAUUUCACCUGGGCCAAGAUUUUGGUUUUUUUUGAUGUUAUUUGUUUGAACUGCUGCCUGGGGCUUAGAAAAGUGACUUGGAUAUUUUGUCAAAAUGGAUUUUCUUUGAUGGAAUGUGAAAUCCGUAAACACUCUGCUUUCCUGCUGUAUCCCCAGAGCAGGUUGAGUACCUUGCACUUCUUCUCAGCACUUCGCUAGAAGUGGUAGAAGAUUUGGAGUUAGGGCCUCCCUCAAUCCCUACCCUUUCUUUAAUUCAGAGGAUCACAAACUGUUGGGAGAAGAGUGGUAUCUUGGGCCUCUAGCUGAUCUGAUGAAUAUUAAUAUCCAAUGUCCUGUAGUGAAGUCAUGUGUGCGUGUAACAUCACUUCUUCACGCAGUGUCAUAGGAAAGUGGGUUCCUGGACCCCAGGUUAAGAGCCUAAGCACUAAAGGCACAGAGCUAGAGCUCUAGGAGGGGAGGGAUGGCUGGGGUGGAACCUCGUCUUGUCAUUUAGUCCUGGGGCCUUUUCACUCCUUACAUGGUGGGUGGUGGGCGUCUGGCAGGUGCCGAUGUUGAUGGAGUCAAGGGAGGGAACUAGCCGGGACAGGGAAAAACAGGGUUGGAGAGAUAAUUAAGGUGGACGUUAUUUUUUCUGAGCGUAAGUCGUGGCUGGAAAUCUGGAGAGCCUGAAAGAGUAUCCCCCUACCCAAACCUGUUUUUUCCUUUUCCCUCAAGCCUCAUUUGGCCACAGGCCCAGUGUCAACACCAGGGGGCGCCACAGACCAUGAAGGCACCGUGCAGCUGGGAUUGUUUGUGGUCGGCUACUGGGUCCCUGACUUAACCAGGGGAGCCAAGACCCUGUAGCCAAGUGGCCUGGAUUCAACCUGCAGCUCAGGUCUUACUGACACUUCUCCCCCUGGUGCCUCAGUUUCUUAAUCUGUGAAAUGGUGAGGACAUUACAGCAUUUACCUCUGGGGCGGGUUUCUCAACAGCAGCACUAUUAACAAUUUGGGACAGAGAAUCUUGUGGAGUGGUCUGUCCUGUGCAUUGUGGGAGGUUUGCCAGCAACACCCCACUCACCCCCUCCCACCAAUCCCCAUGUGACAACCGAAAAUGUCCCAGGAUUUUUAGGUCUCCCUUGGGUCUAGAAGCUGCACUUAGGCAUUUUCCCACCUGACACUUGAGUUCAUCUCUGCUUUGGUCCACAUAAGGCCACUUUAAAAAAAUGUUGUUUCUUUAAAGAUUCUAACCAUCUUUUAAACAAAUCCAUUUUCUUCCUCUAUUUCUGCAUUCAGUUAAUCCUUCCAAACCCUUUGUUUAGUAUAUCUUGAAAUGUAUCAAUUCCUGUUCUAGUAAUUAACAUAUGUGACUUGCAUGAUAUCUGCUAUGACCCUUAGUAGAGCUCUGAUUCCUUUAGCACAGGGAAUGUGUUCUCGAUUCUGCUCUGGAUGAUGUAAAUCAAUUUAUUUUACUUUACUUGUCUGGGAUGUUGCUCCUCAUCUGUAAGAUGUAAAUGUGGAUAUGGCUUGGAUUACUAAGUGGUUUUAUUUCUUAAUUCACCUGACAUUUGUUGUGUGCCUGCUGCAAGUCAAAUACAUGGCAUGGUAUUGUUUCCUUGUUCACACCACAGCAAAUGAGAAAAUGAGACAUUAUAGCCAGGUGUGGCGGCACAGGCUUGUGGUCCUAGCUACUCGGAAGGCUGAGGCAGGAGAAUUGCUCCAGCCCAGGAGUUUGAGGUUACAGUAAGGUAUGAUAUCACCAUUGCAUUUCAACCUGGGCAACAGACCCUGUCUCUGAAAAAAGGGAAAAAGACCUUGUGAGCUGUCUACGUGUACUCUAUGUCUCAGGAGACUCAUAUCCUGUAAUUUUUCUAAAUGGCGUCUCCAUGUGGUCUUUCAUGAAUGUUUGUCUGGUAUUCUCUAUCCUUUUACUUUCAACUUUUCUUUACCUUCUACUGAAAUUAUGUCUUUUGUAAACAGCCCAUGAUUAUUUAUUUAGUUAUUUAUUUUUACCCCCCUGCACUAUUUGUCUUGUAAUUGGAGUGUCUGAGUCCAUUAUGUUUAAUGUAAUUAUUGACCUCAUUGGGUUUAAGUCUGUCCAUUGUCAUUUGCUGCCUUCUAAUAUUAUCUCUUUCUUGCUCAACUAUUUUUCUUAUGUUACCUUCUUUAGAUGAAUAAAAACCUUUGCAUUAUUGUAGUCUUCUAAGUGUCCUAAUUACACAUUCUCUUAUUAUUUCUUUAAUUAUCUGAGAAAGCAUAAUGAUCUGUGACUUAUUAUAACCAAUAGCAGACCACAACUUCCCUGACUUUCACCUACCUGUGCCCACAGCCCAGGGGAGA
rnacentral:lncRNA from 1 species